UGGGGAAUUUUGGACAAUGGGCGCAAGCCUGAUCCAGCAAUGCCGCGUGAGUGAAGAAGGCCUUGGGGUUGUAAAGCUCUUUUGUCAGGGAAGAAACGGUUCUGGAUAAUACCUGGAGCUAAUGACGGUACCUGAAGAAUAAGCACCGGCUAACUACGUGCCAGCAGCCGCGGUAAUACGUAGGGUGCAAGCGUAAAUCGGAAUUACUGGGCGUAAAGCGUGCGCAGGCGGUUUUGUAAGUCUGUCGUGAAAGCCCCGGGCUUAACCUGGGAAUUGCGAUGGAGACUGCAAGGCUUGAAUCUGGCAGAGGGGGGUAGAAUUCCACGUGUAGCAGUGAAAUGCGUAGAGAUGUGGAGGAACACCGAUGGCGAAGGCAGCCCCCUGGGUCAAGAUUGACACUCAUGCACGAAAGCGUGGGGAGCAAACAGGAUUAGAUACCCUGGUAGUCCACGCCCUAAACGAUGUCUACUAGUUGUCGGGUCUUAAUUGACUUGGUAACGCAGCUAACGCGUGAAGUAGACCGCCUGGGGAGUACGGUCGCAAGAUUUAAACUCAAAGGAAUUGACGGGGACCCGCACAAGCGGUGGAUGAUGUGGAUUAAUUCGAUGC
rnacentral:rRNA from 1 species